rnacentral:lncRNA from 1 species
CCUGCUGCUCCCUGCCCUCAUUUACUGCCCUCUCUUAUCUUCCCUUUCUCUCACCCUCCCAGACACACGUGUGAGUGGCAGAUCCAGGGUGAUCUGGACCCUGCUGAUCAUCAGUGAGCCAAGCCUGGAAGCCUGAGCCAUCACCAGCUGGGUGGUAGCCAGCUGUGGCUCAGGGCCACUCUAGAAACACUUGCCUUGGGCUGCAGCUGCCCUGGGCUACUACCCUGAUCCCUAGGAAACGGGGCAUGGGGCAUUUUCCUGAACAGAGCCCUUGCCAAUGCCCAGCAAGAAACCAGUGUGGCACUGGGAUUGGAAAGCCUGGAGUGUGAAUAUGGACUCUGAUGUGCCAACUUACAGAAGAAGCAUAGGCAAGAUUCUUAGUCUCUACAUCAAGCUGAGUCCUUGAAGUGGUCGGAGGGACAAAACAGAAUUCCUGGAGACAGUGUCCUAAGGGAGUGCCAGAGGCACUCAUUUGUUUGACAACUAAUUUUGGAGGCAGGUGCUCUUCCUUGUCUUAGGAUCUUCCAGUCAACAAGGCUGAAAAUCUCCCUGCCUCCUGGAGCUUGCUUCUGUGGAAGAAGGCAGUCAGCAAACACAUGAACAAAGACAAGUUCAGGGAGCUGAAGGUGCUGGAAAGAGGAGGAAACAAGGGUUUGUGGGUAAAAUAAUGUGCCCAAUGUCGUGCACUUUGUAGGGGACAGAGGACUCAAUACGACUUGGAUCUGACACUGGAAUUCACCUGACUGUGCUACACAGGCUCUCCUGCAUAGCUAGUGCUUCCACCAGCAGGGGUGACAAUUAGACCUUACCUUUGCCUAGUAUUUUAUACACUUCCAAGCGAUUUCCAGCACAUCACCUCAUUUCACCUUGGAACAUGAUUAUUUCCACCUUUUCCUCUGAGGCCUGCCACGAAUGUAAAGGAAAAUGGUAGGAGCCGAUCCUCUAGCAACGGAGCCAAUUAAGCUUCCUGCAAAUGUAGAGCAGUUAAAUCCCCAUGACAUGAAGGACCAAUAAAAGCUUUGAAUUGGCCAUGUCUAGAGCAGAACCUUGUGGGCCGGAAUUUAAAUAGGCAAAGGUCUUUGCUUUCUCCUCCUGUGACUUACAGAAACUAGUUCUUAUUCAGCCUCUGCAAUGUGGAAAAGAGUCGCUGAUAGCAGCUCCUGUAUUCUUAGGUGCUGUGGGGAUACUGCAGCAGCUCUCUGUCCUUCCAGUGUCUCCAGGGAAGAACAUCUUCCUCUCAAGUGAACAGUGCUUACCGCUUCAAGCAUCCAGUCUCAGCAAUAAGGUCAGCGUUUGACUGUUGACAAAGUAUUUUGGCAUACUUGAUCAUGUUUGAUGCUCACAUAAUCCCACUGUGUAGCUUCUCAUAAUCUUUGUAACUUUUGGAUGGGGAAACUGAGGGUCAGGCUGAAGGCACCCGAUGGGUAUGUUUCUGUGGGAAUGGCAGACCAGCUGGGCCUUGAGACUCAGGAUUCCUGACACCAAGAUUCCUCCUCGCUCUGCCACUGAAAGGACGCUUGCUUUUGUGCUGGCUUUGGAAGGAACACUUUCUAAAAUGUGUUAUAUAUUUGCCUGCCUCUUACAGCAGAGGACACUGGGG